rnacentral:lncRNA from 1 species
CCUUAAAGAUAUUUCUACAAUAGGUUCUAGAUUUGAUCUAAUCAAGUCCAACUCAAUGGGUUUACUAGAUUGUGUCGGUUCUACUAUCGAUCGAACUUCAUCAAGUUCAAUCUUUGAGGUAUUAGUUCUUUCUUCAAGGAACUUCUUUGCUAGAAAAACUGUCCUAUUGCUGACAAAUACUUUCUAUUCAUCAGCAAGAUAGAAGUAAUACCCCUUGAUCUCUUUUAGAUACCCUACAAAUAGACACUUGUC